CCAAGGUCGCGGGUUCGAUCC
rnacentral:miRNA from 1 species